rnacentral:rRNA from 1 species
AACGAACGCUGGCGGCAUGCCUAACACAUGCAAGUCGAACGAACUCUUCGGAGUUAGUGGCGCACGGGUGCGUAACGCGUGGGAAUCUGCCCUUGGGUACGGAAUAACUCAGAGAAAUUUGUGCUAAUACCGUAUAAUGACUUCGGUCCAAAGAUUUAUCGCCCAAGGAUGAGCCCGCGUAAGAUUAGCUAGUUGGUGGGGUAAAAGCCUACCAAGGCGACGAUCUUUAGCUGGUCUGAGAGGAUGAUCAGCCACACUGGGACUGAGACACGGCCCAGACUCCUACGGGAGGCAGCAGUGGGGAAUAUUGGACAAUGGGCGAAAGCCUGAUCCAGCAAUGCCGCGUGAGUGAUGAAGGCCUUAGGGUGUAAAGCUCUUUUACCCGGGAUGAUAAUGACAGUACCGGGAGAAUAAGCUCCGGCUAACUCCGUGCCAGCAGCCGCGGUAAU